UAGAUAUAUCUUAGAACUCCAAUUGCGAAGGCAGCUUACUAAACUAGCAUUGACGCUGAUGGACGAAAGCGUGGGUAGCGAACAGGAUUAGAUACCCUGGUAGUCCACGCCGUAAACGAUGAUUACUCGUUGUGCGCGAUAUAUUGUGCGUGACUGAGCGAAAGCAUUAAGUAAUCCACCUGGGGAGUACGUUGGCAACAAUGAAACUCAAAGGAAUUGACGGGGGCCCGCACAAGCGGAGGAACAUGUGGUUUAAUUCGAUGAUACGCGAGGAACCUUACCUGGGCUUAAAUGUAGAUUGACAGAUCUGGAAACGGAUUUUUCUUCGGACAAUUUACAAGGUGCUGCAUGGUUGUCGUCAGCUCGUGCCGUGAGGUGUCGGGUUAAGUCCCAUAACGAGCGCAACCCCUAUCUUUAGUUGCUAGCAGGUAAAGCUGAGGACUCUAAAGAGACUGCCACCGUAAGGUGCGAGGAAGGCGGGGAUGACGUCAAAUCAGCACGGCCCUUACGUCCAGGGCUACACACGUGUUACAAUGGUUGGUACAAAGGGCAGCUACCUGGUGACAGGAUGCUAAUCUCUAAAGCCAAUCUCAGUUCGGAUCGGAGUCUGCAACUCGACUCCGUGAAGUUGGAUUCGCUAGUAAUCGCAUAUCAGCAACGAUGCGGUGAAUACGUUCCCGGGCCUUGUACACACCGCCCA
rnacentral:rRNA from 1 species